rnacentral:rRNA from 1 species
ACGAAAAAUGAAUACCAAGUCUCAAGAGUGAACACGUAAUUCAUUACGAAGUUUAAUUCAUUGAGCAUCAAACUUUUAAAUUGAAGAGUUUGAUCAUGGCUCAGAUUGAACGCUGGCGGCAGGCCUAACACAUGCAAGUCGAACGGUAACAGGAAGCAGCUUGCUGCUUUGCUGACGAGUGGCGGACGGGUGAGUAAUGUCUGGGAAACUGCCUGAUGGAGGGGGAUAACUACUGGAAACGGUGGCUAAUACCGCAUAACGUCGCAAGACCAAAGAGGGGGACCUUCGGGCCUCUUGCCAUCAGAUGUGCCCAGAUGGGAUUAGCUUGUUGGUGAGGUAACGGCUCACCAAGGCGACGAUCCCUAGCUGGUCUGAGAGGAUGACCAGCCACACUGGAACUGAGACACGGUCCAGACUCCUACGGGAGGCAGCAGUGGGGAAUAUUGCACAAUGGGCGCAAGCCUGAUGCAGCCAUGCCGCGUGUAUGAAGAAGGCCUUCGGGUUGUAAAGUACUUUCAGCGGGGAGGAAGGUGUUGUGGUUAAUAACCGCAGCAAUUGACGUUACCCGCAGAAGAAGCNNNNNNNNNNNNNNNNNNNNAAUACGGAGGGUGCAAGCGUUAAUCGGAAUUACUGGGCGUAAAGCGCACGCAGGCGGUCUGUCAAGUCGGAUGUGAAAUCCCCGGGCUCAACCUGGGAACUGCAUUCGAAACUGGCAGGCUUGAGUCUUGUAGAGGGGGGUAGAAUUCCAGGUGUAGCGGUGAAAUGCGUAGAGAUCUGGAGGAAUACCGGUGGCGAAGGCGGCCCCCUGGACAAAGACUGACGCUCAGGUGCGAAAGCGUGGGGAGCAAACAGGAUUAGAUACCCUGGUAGUCCACGCCGUAAACGAUGUCUACUUGGAGGUUGUGCCCUUGAGGCGUGGCUUCCGGAGCUAACGCGUUAAGUAGACCGCCUGGGGAGUACGGCCGCAAGGUUAAAACUCAAAUGAAUUGACGGGGGCCCGCACAAGCGGUGGAGCAUGUGGUUUAAUUCGAUGCAACGCGAAGAACCUUACCUGGUCUUGACAUCCACGGAAGUUUUCAGAGAUGAGAAUGUGCCUUCGGGAACCGUGAGACAGGUGCUGCAUGGCUGUCGUCAGCUCGUGUUGUGAAAUGUUGGGUUAAGUCCCGCAACGAGCGCAACCCUUAUCCUUUGUUGCCAGCGGUCCGGCCGGGAACUCAAAGGAGACUGCCAGUGAUAAACUGGAGGAAGGUGGGGAUGACGUCAAGUCAUCAUGGCCCUUACGACCAGGGCUACACACGUGCUACAAUGGCGCAUACAAAGAGAAGCGACCUCGCGAGAGCAAGCGGACCUCAUAAAGUGCGUCGUAGUCCGGAUUGGAGUCUGCAACUCGACUCCAUGAAGUCGGAAUCGCUAGUAAUCGUGGAUCAGAAUGCCACGGUGAAUACGUUCCCGGGCCUUGUACACACCGCCCGUCACACCAUGGGAGUGGGUUGCAAAAGAAGUAGGUAGCUUAACCUUCGGGAGGGCGCUUACCACUUUGUGAUUCAUGACUGGGGUGAAGUCGUAACAAGGUAACCGUAGGGGAACCUGCGGUUGGAUCACCUCCUUACCUUAAAGAAGCGUACUUUGCAGUGCUCACACAGAUUGUCUGAUGAAAA